rnacentral:lncRNA from 1 species
GAGUUGUUGACUGGGUUGUCAUAGCUAGCCUGGGCUCUGGAGUGAGGAUGGUCAGUGUUGGGCACAAUUAAUUCAUCCAUAGAAGGAAAAGAUGUUGAGCAAAAUAUCUCAAUGAAGUAAUGGAUUCAAAUGGUGUCAGGAACAUCUAAACAGCACAGCAGUUGCUUCUACAUCAAAUGUGACAUUUGGCAUUGAGGGAGUUGACCCUGAGAGUACUCACCGAUUAACCUCCUAUAUACUGACCUUCAUCUCAGGAUCUGCUUCUUGGAAAAACUGAACUGCAACGCCAUGGUUUAUGUUUUACGUACAAACUGAGUCCGCAUAAAGCUUUAUACAGAAGGGUGACAUCUGAUUUGCAAUUUAGGAGGAGGACUCUGGUUCCUGAUUGAAGAAUGGAUUAUAAUUGGGCAAGGGUGGAGGCCCUCCUAUAACUUUCAAAAGCUGUGAUGGGUUCAAGGGGAGAUAUGUUUAUUCCACUUUGAGCUGUUUCUCAGGAUAUUACGUGCUGUGAUGGAUAUGCUGGCUGGAAGAACAUGCAAAUCCAGCCCUAACACUGCAGAAAAGAUUGUUCCAAAGCAGAAGACUAUGCUUUUACUGAUCGGUCCGGGCAGGACUAUGGAUGUCUUAGAUGAACUGCUCUCCAAGACUAGAUAAGUGGAUGUUGGAGAAUGUUCUAAUAUUGGGCCACUGUUUUUUGCUUUUUGGGUUUCUUUUUUUUUUUUUUUGAGAUGGAGUUUCACUGUUUAGCCCAAGCUGGAGCGCAAUGAUGUGAUCUUGGCUCACUGCCACCUCCAUCUCCUAGGUUCAAGCAAUUCUCCUGCCUCAGCCUCACAAGUAGCUGGGAUUACAAACAUAUGCCACCAUGCCCAGCUAAUUUUGUAUUUUUUUAGUAGAGACAGGGUUUCUGACCAUGUUGGCCAGGCUGGUCUUGAACUCCUGACCUCAGGUGAUCUAUCCACCUUAGGCCUCCCAAAAUGCUGGGAUGACAGGCGUAAGCCGUUCGCCCAGACUGUUUUAGUGUUAUUGUUGUAUUGGGUCUGGGGGAAACCAUAAAAGUGGUUGAUAAGGGUGGACAUUCACACUACUAAUCAUAUGUGAAAGGAAGCGAUUUCUGGAUAAGGAAAUGGGGCCCUCCAUAGCAGGUCUAAGACCAAGGAAGUGAGUUGGGCUUCCUCAAGGCAAUUCACAAUCCAGAGGGUUGCAGCCAGCCUGAGGUCAAACUAACCCAAUUUUCCUCCUAUCCUCUGAAGCCGUAGGGAAAGAAGGCCCUGACCCAUGCAGUCAAGAGAGGUCAACAUCCUAAGCAGAGAACAAAGGUGGAAAAGGGUGGAGGGUGAAUGUGGAGAGGCCAGUGAUGGAUAUGUGGCAUGCAGAUGAAAGUUCGUCUGUGUUGAAAUUCUUGUUUCUCAUAGAUGACGGGUUGAUGGGUGCAGCAAACCACCAUGGCACGUGUAUACCUAUGGAACAAACCUGCAUAUUCUGCAUGUGUACCCCAGAACUUAAAGUAUAAUAAAAAUAUUUUUAAAAAAGAAAUUCAUGUUUCUCGAACUUUAACAUGCAUACAAAUUACCUGAAUGUUUUGUUAAAAUGCACACUGUUUAGGAAGACUGGAAUGGGACCUGAGAUUUCGAAUUGCUCUCCAACUCCCAGGUGAUGCUGAGGCUGCUGUGCAUGAACUACAUUUGGAGCUGCAAGAAUGCGUGACCUAUCCAAUCCUUCCUCUCAUGGAAACACCAACUCAUCCAUGCCCUCUGUGCUGAAACUUCGUCUCAGCCUGCUGGAAUCACCUGCACCCCAUGGGAACUGUAGCCAUAUCUUCAGUCCUGUGAGCCCCCGUCAUGGCCUGUCACAGGAGUAAAUGAGGAGUAAGGCCCAGAAUACUCAGUACCUCUCAAUGACCCUCAGACGCUGUAGGAAGAGGAUUGGUUCACCUUUUAACCCAGAAUUUCUCACAUUGAAUGGACAGGAUGCAUUCCAAGAGGCCAGAGUAUGUGCAUCUCAGCUCCUGAUGGUUUCCACCACCACCAUUACUUUCUCUAUGUCAAGAUACCUGGGAAGCCGGUGUUUCAUUUGCAUUCUUGGAGCCCAGGAACUGUCUUCUACAAACUUUUCUUCCUAGUACCAUGUAAACGUACACAGGAAACGUUCAGAAAACAUCAGCCAAAUAGAAGAAUAAGGAAAUUCCUUCACUGACUAGAUAUUGGUGUUUGAUUCUGUCCUGCUUUGUACUCAAUGGCUAUUUCGGGGUUUCCAUUGCGGAAAACUAUUUGGAAAAUUGCAAGCCACGAGACAAGCCUCUAAGCUACUCCAGGAUCAUUGAGGACUCUCCAUGGGUUCUUAUUGUUAAAGAUCUUAACUCCUCAAGCCACUGCAUUUUUACUAUAUGCCUUGAACUACAAGAUGUGUUAAGAUUUAUAGGAUAAGGUUCUCAUCUCUAAAAACUCAUGGUCUCGAUGGAGAAGCAGUAUUUACACACAUGGAGAAGUUGAGAGUACUUGAAUGUGGAGUAUAAAGUGUGCGAUAUUGACAAGAAGCUCUACGAAAGUUCAGGAAGAGGAGGAGCAAGUGAGGAUGGAGAUGGACUUUGCAGAAUGGAGGAGAGGCAAAGAAACGGUUAGAAACAAUCUACAUAAUGAAAAGUCACUUUUGGGAGUUGUUUUAAGGCAGAGUAUCAUAUCGCAUCAAAACCGCUCCAUAAGUCCUGCCACUCCACGUGCAAUGCCAUGAACUUGAAGAAACUGCUGGUAAGAGAAAGCAAAUGCUGUGACCAGGCAACUGCUGCAAACCAAUGGGCUUUGGGGAACUGUGCUUCCCUUCAGAAAGGAAAGAGUAUUUAACGAUGAAAAGGAAGGAUUGUGUCUUACUUAUACUUACGGGCUUGUGGUUCAGCGGAGACCACACUGGACUGGACUGAACAGACAACUGAAGGGCUCUCUCUACCUUUCAGCAUCUCUGUCUGCCUUUCUGACUACCUAAAAAUUACUGCAACCUCUGAUUCUGUUUCUAAGGUGGAUUUUCCCUACUCAUGCUUCCUAGAGAUUUGGUGAGGAUUUGUUGAGUCAUGGGACAUUUCAGCUUGCCAAGCUUCUUUAGCUUUAGCACGUGUUUCCACCAGUGUCCCUUAACGGAGAGGAUGACUAUGUCACUGAAGAAGUGGAGGGGCUGAAAAUGGACUCAGCUCUUGGCCCCUGUAGAGACUGCAAGACUCCGUGCACAACGUGACAGUCGGGGCUUCCUCUGAGCACUGCGCCGUUCAGCCCUAUUGCGCAACCUGCCACGCCCUGUUACUGUAAAUGGAACACCGGCUGUGAGCUGGUCAAGGCCCUGCCAUGACAAGGCCACUUGCAUAGGACUCCAAAUUAAAAAAAAAAAAAAGGCCUUUCUUAUUGACUGAAAAACUGGUUGUGUUUUUCAUAUUUUUCACUUUCUGGAGCUGAAUUAUUAAUAGGCAAAAAUUAGGUGGGGCUUCAUUGAUAUUCUCACCAGCUUUUACAAACCAAGAAUCGGAAAGUGUGCCUCGGUGAGUUGCCUUUUGUUAGCAGUGUGGAGAUGCAGGCAAAAGUGAUCAGCGUGGUUUGUAUUUGCAGCCGCCCCUCCCCUCUCUUCAGAGUCUCUCCUUCCCGGCUGCAAGGUGCGUCUUUAAUGUGCGACACUGACAAGGCGUUUCAGCCAUGCAGCUAAUUAAUAUCAUGCCGAGGCUCAAUGUGACAGGUCCUUCAGACUCAUAAAUCAGAAACCACUAACAAAUGUCGUUCCUUUUCUGAUCUCUUUCUCUUGCUUUUUAAUAUGUUGAUUUACUUUCAGUAUGCAUAACCAAAAAAGAAACAAACCAAUAAAAAUACUGAUGAAAAUGCCGGGUGCCAUGGCUUGAAUGCGUUUUAGACUUUCCAAGCCAGCAAGACAACAGCCAGGAAAACAGCAAAGAAAAAAAAAUCACCCUUGCCUUUCAGGGUAUGGACAUAGGAGGAAAACAAAACAUCAGAUAGUGGUCUAUCCUUUAGAGACUAUGAGUCACUCCCCAGGGGCUGUAUCAAAACAGACCUAGUUACCUGGAGAAUACAAAAAAUGGCCUGGCCAAAGUUCAAACACUAGACUGACCAAACAAAAGGAUUCCCAGGGAAGAGGCGCUAAUCAAAGCUCUGACAGCACGCAGCCCUGAUGAAAAACGACUGUGGAGAAUUCCCAUUAAGGAUAUUUGAAACCACAGUUCUUAUCUUUCCCUCCUUCCCCUUCUCUCAGCUGGGGACCUGCAGACUAUCUUUUCCCUCCAAUCUUAUCCAUGUACCGGAGACAGACUGUGUUCACUUAGGUCAAAUGUGGUCAGGGUGGAGGGGUCAGGUUACAGCUCCCAGCUAAUGAAAAAACUGUAGCUUCAAAGUUGCCUGGUUUGCCAGUUCUCUCAAGAAGAUCCACAUCCAGUAAAAAUAAUUCUUAAAUUUACCCUACUGAUGGGAGCACCUGGAAAAAAGGAUUUUUUUUUUUAAGCCUGAAUAUCAAGUUUGAAAAAAGCCAAUUAUUAGCAGCCUGGAAGAAUGCUUUACAAGAUCUUGAAGAAAGAUAGACUUAAAGAAAAUAGUGGAAUAUUUUUUCAUUAAUUCAUAGCCACAAUAGUCCUAUUCUUAGAGAGCUUUCUUUUCACAGCCAUACUGAUUUUUCAAACACUAAUUUCCUCUUACUAGUUCUGCUCCUUGUGGAAUUUAUUAAAGAAAAGAAGAGUAGAGUCUUCUAUUUAUUGUGUGGUUGCCAGAUAAAGUAUCUAAACAUAAAAAUUAAAAAAUUGCUUAGAUUACAUAGACACAGGCACUUAAAUUUUAAAAGAUAAUGUUUAAAAAGAUAAAGUUAUCAGUUAUAUUCAUGGGAAUGAACAUUAAGCAUUCAUCAAAAAGAUUUUAAGAAAUAACUGGGAGUAAGGGGGAAUAAGAAUAUAAAAUUAAAAAGUAUUUCUCAGAAAAGCAUAGCACAGCAUGUCUGUAAUAGAAGGAAGCAAAAUAAAAUGUUACACAUUUUAAAUCAAGAAAGUUAUCAAAAUGUCUAAAUCCCUGCCCUAAAUCACUGAAAUGAUUAUGUACAUCCAUUCUGUCUCCCUCAAUGGAGAACACUUGCAAAUACAUAGGUCCUUUAAAAUGCUUUGGUGAGGAUGGAUAUGGUAACAUUGUGUCAGAGGCGUGUGAACCAGAGCACUUCCAUCUUGAACAGGGGCUGGGUGAAAUAUGGCUGAAACCUACUGAGCUGCAUUCCCAGAAGGUGAAGCCAUUGUAAGCCACAGAAUGAGCUAGAAGGUCAGCACAAGAUACAGGUCAUAAAGACCUUGCUGAUAAAACAGCUUGCAGUAAAGAAGCUGGCCAAAACCCACCAAAGCCAAGAUGGUGAGGACAGUGACCUCUGGUCAUCCUCACUGCUAUACUCCCACCAGCACCAUCACAGUUGACAGAUGCCCUGGCAUUGUCAGGAAGUUACUCUAUAUGGUCUAAAAAGGGGAGGCACUAAUAAUCCACCCCCUGUUUAGCAUAUCAUCACAAAAUAACCACAAAAAUGGGCAACCAGCAACCCUCAAGGGUUAUUCUUUUAUUCUUCUACUUUCUUAAUAAACUUGCUUUCACUUUACUCUAUGGACUUGUCCUGAAUUCUUUCUUGCACGAGAUCCAAGAACCCUCUCUCGGGGUCUGGAUCAGGACCUUCUUCCUGUAACAAUUGGGUGGACUAGGUUAUGCUGCAAUAACAAGCAACCCCAAAGUCAUGGUGACUUAAACCACAAAGAUUAUUUUUUGCUCCUGUUAUAUGUCAAUCAAGAUUCAGCAGGGCUGUUUUGUUCAUCACACUCGAAGAAUACAGGCUGAUGCCAAUGCUGGCUCAAGAGAGACCUGGGGAGUCUCUUCCCAGACCUGGGAAGAUCAUGAUCUUCUCAGAAGUGGGAAGGGACACAGACCUGUUCCAUUCACACUUCAUGAACCAAGUCAUGGCCAAUCCUAAACAUCAGAGUGUGGAAAGUGCAGUCCAACAUGAGGAAUAUCUUAUGGAGUGGGCAAUAUUGAUGUCUGUCUGGAAUGUUUGCAUUGGUUCUUUUUCAUCUGUGUUUUGACUUUCUUCUAACAGGUGUUGGCCUGUUUACAGAUGCCAAUAAAAUGCUUCUUUGAAUGUAACUUCUUCCUUUUGGAAUUCCAGGCAUCUUGCUAUCUGUAGAAAUCUCUUGGACUAAUAACAGGGUAUUGACAAUGGAUUUCAACGCAUAAUGCCUAAAGGCAGGUGCAAAUUUGAAAUUCCCAAGUCCUUGUUUGUCCUGGAAGUCAAGCCUCUUGCAAAGUUAAACGAUUUCAGUUUUUUCUCUUCCUGUUUUUUUCCUGUUUCUUUCCUCUAAUCAUCUUUAUCUCCCAGAUCUUGUCCCAUGGCCCCUGUUUUACUGACUAAAACAGAACUUGGUCUGAACUUUUAAAACAUAUUCUCCAAGGCUUCCAGCAUACCAUUUCUGCCAUAUUUUCAAGAUCAAUUGUGGAUGACCGUAAUAGAGCCAGACUCUGGCACCAAUGCACAGAGGAAAGAGUUUACAAAUAUUUAUAAAGAAAAAUGAUUGAAACUAAUUUUUUUUGUCAAAAUGAAAUUCAAGAUGAAGACUACACCCUUCCUUUUAAUCAGAAGGUGCACGAGGUUUAGGAGAAUGCAAUGAGAAAUGAAAUUCACAGGACUUGCUGGCUUCUAAUCUUCCUUAAAAAAUAAGAAAAUUAAAAAGGGAAAUUUAGGCUUUUUAUCAGGCCAAUUCAGAUAUGUUUUUGAGACAUGAUAUAAUAGUAAAUCACAGUAUAACAUUUACAUUAACAGGCUCUUGAAAAUAAUUGUUAUUGUAAAAACGAUACAUUUAUUGUAGAUAAUUAGGGAAAUAAUGAAAGGUAUAAAAAAAAAAAGAAUCAGCCAUAAUUUUAGCCUCUAGAAAUAAUAAUUGCAAGCAUUUUGUGUUGUCCUCCCAGCAUUUUCCCUGUCUCUGCAGUUUUUUUAUACAAUUAAAAAAUAUACUGCAAAGGGUAUAACUAUCGGUCCACAAAUUCAGACAUACUUGAAAUAUUAAUUUCCUUCAUUUUUUAAGGCUCAAGCUGAUUUCUUUCUUCUUUUUCUUCCCCCCUUUUUUAGAGACAGGGUCUUCCUCUGUCGCCCAGGCUAGAGCACAGUGGCAUGAUCACAGCUCACUGCAGCCUCAAACUUCUGGGUUUAAACAAUCCUCUUGUCCCAGCCUCCUGUGUAGCUAGGACUACAGGUCCAUGCUGCCAUGCCAGGCCAAUUUUUUAAUUUUUAUUUUUGUAGGGACAGGGUCUCAUUAUGUUCCUCAGACUGGUCUCAAACUCGUGGUCUCAAGUGAUCCUCCCUCCUUGACCUCCGAAAGUGCUGGGAUUACAGGCAUGAGCCACCAUGCCCCAUAUAGAUUAGUUUCUAUUUUAAGACCUCACUUUGCCUGGGAACUGAAAUUUAAUCUUGGUCAAUGUCAGCCAAGUUCCUUCUUUCUGGAGGUUUGUCUAAAUUGACAGGGGCUGGGGUAAUGGAGGACCAAGGCACGGGAAGGAGUGUACUCCAUCCUUGAACAAUCAUUUACAAAUGUAUCUGCAAAGUUUCUUCUUCCUGUUUGCAUUUUUUUCUUUAGUUCCUAAGCCUCUGCCUAGGAAACAAGGUCACAGGACCAAGCAAACUAUAGCUCUCUUAUUGAGGAACUCCCAAUUUCUUCUGUCCUAAAUCCAGUGGUACCUUUUUUUUUCCAAGUACAUGAACAUGCAAGUUAUCUACCUAUUACCUUUCUGCUCCACAUCCACCCUUUCUGUGCCGUGCUCUGUGAUUCUGGGACUGAGAUUCUGGAAACUAUUUUCCAGGCUCCUUUGCUGGCUGACUUUCUGCUAAUUCUGCAGCUGGAUGCAGCAGAAGAGGAUGGAAGGCAGAAGGAAGGGAAAAGUGGCUUCCUUCCCGAUUACUGCCAGUCCUGUCAGUGUUGCCCAAGACUGCCAAUUUGUUCCACCAGCAGCAGUGCCUUCGGACUUCUGCCUCAGUGUUUUCCAGCAGUCCCAGUGAGAGGUGACAACGCGCUAGCAGCCCUCACUUACUCUUGGCGCCUCCUGGGCCUCGGCGUCCACUCUGGCUGCGCUUGAGGAGCCCUUCAGCCCGCGGCUGCACUGUGGGAGCCCCUCUCUGGGCUGGCUGAGGCCGGAGCCAGCUCCCUCUGCUUGUGGGGAGAAGAAUCUUGGUCGUCCAGAAAGCUUGCUAUAGCUGCCCAGCAUUUGCCUCCUCCACAAAGAAGGACCAAAAGAACAAGUAGACAAUCACAUGCCAAAUAAAAUGUCUAAAGGAGAGCACUGAAGCUCAGCAAAAACGUUACAAAGACCCUCUGAGGUGCAGAAACUCGGGAUGGCAGCACAAAGAGGAAAGCAAAGCAGCCGGUCAGGAUCAGCUCACAGUCAAGGGCGCCCCGCCUUGAGUAGGAAAUGUAAGCAGGAGAUGCCCUGCAGGCAACAUUCCCACCACAAAUGCCUGCAAGCCUAGCUGUAGGAGAGCCUCGCAGUGUUGAGCCCAGUGCGGGAGCUGCCUGGAGUCUCUGUGACUACAUUACUCCAGAGAGGCCACUGGGUCCCUCCUUAGUCCCUGGGACCCAAGCCGCUGCAGCACAGUAUCAUUUUGAGGACAGAGCCACUGCCAGAAUGCUUCCUGUCCUGGGGCCCGGUAACCCCUGCAUGUCCUCAUCACUGGAGCCCCAAUAUCAUUCCACAGUUGUAUGAGGAGUAAAAAUAACUAUAAAUAAAGAUAACUCAAGAAUUCUAUAAGCAAGCAUACACAUGAAAUUCAUUUUAUAAGAGGAAAGCUAACUCCAUCUCUCUUGAAAUAUGGAAUAGGUUCUUGAAGCAAUUCUAAAUGCUGAUCUGCUGGAAUGAUGGCUUCAUUGCACAAGAAUUCUGCUUAGUUCAUUGAAGUCUCCUUGAAGAAGUCAGUCUGAGAAUGGGGGAAUUCCGUUGUUGGUCAGAAGAAUUCUUUGGUCACUAUUGGAAGUGGGUUCAGUUUAGGGUGACUAUUGAUCAACAGGGUUCAUGGGUUUGCUAAAACUCAUUUCAGGCAAGCUUUGGAAGUGCAGUUCGCUUGGUGCUUAUGGGGUUAAAAACAGGAGGAAGAGAAUUUCACAUUAUUGGAGGGCCUGAAAGGAAACUGAUUCCCGCAAGAUGCUCAGACAAGAUCAAACCCAGCCCCUUUUCUGGUUUGGAAUUUCUCUGGGCUAUAAAGGUAGAAGAAAAGGCCCUGCAUGGGCCCACUCUAAGUGCUUGGAGGUUUUAGAUAAUUUUAUUAAAUUGUAGAAUCUUAAACAGAACUACAAGGUUGCUUUUAAAACCAGAUCUCAGAUUUCUUUGAGCUAACAAAUGGUAAAAUGUAUCUUUAGUAUUAGAGUGAGAUAAAGGUAGUUAUAACUUUUUUUUUUACUUAUUUUAUGUUAACGUAUGCAACAAAGGGUACAAAUUGUAGGUACGCAGCUCAUUGAACUUUUAUGUCUGCACAUGCCUAUGAAACCAACACCCAGAGUAAGAUGCGGAUAAUUUUCUGCUCCCCUGAAAAUUCCCUUGUGCCUUUUCCUCAUCAGUACCUCCAAAGGUAACCACUAUUUUGAUUUCCAUUACCAUAGAUGAGUUAUACUUGUUUUUGAAAAGAUUAUUUGAAAUGUGUAAUAUAAAUAAUAGCGGUUGCUUAUCUUACAGAAAUAUCACUGAGAAUUCAUUUCUUCUCUCCUUCAUUUAUUCAUUUGUUCAAAACACUGUCUAGUACCAACAUUGUCCACCGGGCGUUGAGAAUACAAUAUUGAAGAAGAGUCACUGCCUGCCCUCUGGAAAAAUCAGAGUAUUUGAAAGAAUACACACAAGUAAACAGGCAGCUAUGGCAAAGUGGGUAAAAGCUGCAAAACAGGGAAGUUUCGCCAAGUGUCAGAUGCCAAGAAGUGUCAGAUGCCAAGAAGAAAGGGUGCAUGACAUAGACUUGGGGGGGUCAGUAGUGGUUUCUGGAACGAGUGACAUUUAGACUGAAACUGGAAGGAUAUGAGUAAGGGCUAAUCGGACCAAGAUGAAGAGAUACAGAAGCAGAAGGAACAGUAGGAACAAAUGCUCAGAGGCAAAAGAAAGCUUUGAAUAUUUGAGGAACUGAAAAGCAAAACAACAAAAAAUAGCCAUCCCUUGACUAGACAAGUGACCUGGGGUCAGAUCCUGAAGGGCUUUGCAGAUCACUUUUCCGCUUGUAGACUUUGUACUUGACUUUAAGGGCCAUGGAGAGCCACUGAAGCAUUUUCAGCAAGGGACUGUCAUCAGCAGAUUGGUAUUUGUUUUGAAGUAGCACAUGUAAGAGAAAAUAACAAUAUGGACAAAUAAAGAGUUUGAAAAACAACUUUGCUUUGAUACUUUAGGAUGAAAUAUCUGAGAUAGCAGCGCCCCCCCCCCCAUCAGCCAUUUUUAAUGACACUACUAUUUGAGCACAAGUUGCAAGAAAAUUUGCAACAAAUAGGCUUUUUCUGUAGAACACAAAGCAGGGAUGUUUGAACGAUGCAUUAUUUGAAUUCCAUCUUAGUAGGAAGCCAUCCAUAAUAGGAGGAAGUUGAGGAAUAGGCCUAAUGUUCACAGUGGCACAGGUGGCGUUUGCAUCUGCCUUCAAUGUUCCUAUGAUACGAAUCCUCCACUGCAGAAAAUUCCUCGUGGAAUUUUCUAUUUUAUGUGUUAAACUUUAUCGAAAUCUUUUCCUGAUGUUUAUAUUUCUGUGAUAAUCAUUAUUAAACUGAAAAAUGCGGAA